UGGGGCGUGGCCAAGUGGUAAGGCAACGGGUUUUGGUCUCGUGAUCCCAGGUUCGAAUCCUGCGCCCCAGCCA
rnacentral:tRNA from 1 species